rnacentral:tRNA from 1 species
CAGGAUGUAGUUUAUCUAAAAUGUUAAUUUUGGGGAUUAAUGAAGAAUUUAAUUGAUUUUUUCCUGA